GGGUGCUACUUACCUGGUAGCACUCCCUUAAGUAGCACUAAGUAGCUUUUUUUUUCGCAACCUUAAGAGUAGCGUCCUCUACGUAUAAGGUAGAGGAUCUACUUUAUAGUAGUACACUUCUACUAUUGAACUACUUUGUGCUGAAAGUAGCAUUUCACUACUAUACAAUUAGUGAAAUGCUACCAAAAUCACAGUAGCGGUCGCAACGAUCAUACCAGUCAGGUGUUACCAGAGUUGUUAUAAAAAUUCAGCUAAAUAUACAAUUCUUUAUUUCCAUUGCACGCGUCUCUAUACUAUUAUUAAAACAUUUAAAAAAUUUUUUUAAAGUGUAUAUCGCAAUUCGCAAUUCAAAUAAAAAAUGUGGCAAUGAUAAAAAUUGUGUUGUCAGCAGACGUGACAGAUGACGUUUUUCAAUUUUACGAUGGCGUUUGUGGUUACAUUCAAUGGAUCAGUUUUUACAUGUUUUAUUUGUGAUUUUGCCUUUCGUUAAAAUUGGUUGAGCAGCCGUCAAGUCCAUAUUUGUUUUUAGAAGAAGAUUUGACUUGGCUAUAUCUACAACACACUCCAAGGUCAUUGAUAUCAUAUCAUCACUGUUACAUGGAACACCUUUAGUUGUUGUAAAGAUGCUGCCAGCUAUCCAGCUAAUGUUGAAGACAUGCAGUCUCAAUCGAUCAUCAACAUAAACAGUUAUCUCUGCCAACAUCAGUGAUAUUGUUUGUACAAAACACACUCAAGCAUGCCUUAGUGUGAACUGAGUUCAUUGAGUUUUUAUUUUAUUUAUUAUUUUGUUAUUUCAUAUUUUCAUGACAUGGCAACGUCAUGAAAAUUUGCACAUUUCAAACAUAUCGGCAACGUUUAGAGCGUCAAAGACGCUCAUAGCCUCAUAGCAAUUCACAAGAGCACUUCUCUCGUGGUGAAACCGUGAAAUAGUGUUUAAUUAAUGUGAAAUUAGCAGCCGUCAAGUCGAUAUUCGAAAUUGUCCGUCACAUAAAAGUUCCCAACUCUUCAUCUAUGCGAUGGACAUCACUCAGUGGAGUGCUUCUGAAGUUAGGCAAGCUUUGGAAGCAGAAGGCUUUGAGUUGGAUAUCUGCGAAACUUUGUGUACGCUCAGAGAAUCCCAAUCCAACAUGUUCAAGUCAAGCUGAGACUGUGAACACCAAUGCUGACAAAGUACGCACAGAUAAUCUCAAUCCAAUAUGUUCAAGUCAAGCUGAGACUGCGAACACCAAUGCUGACAAAGUGAGUCUGAUGGACUGAUGGAACUUGACAACGAAAUUAAGACGCUGUGCAAUGAAGAAUUCCUGGCUUCAAUUCUGAAUGCAAUGAAAUUGCUUCUGGAGAUCCGGAGAGUGAAGUGCCGUUCAGUCCAGGCAAAAUUGAAUCUAUUUAUUCAGUUUGUGGAAGAAAACACGGAAAUAGAAGAAUACGUUAACCAACGGACUGAGGCGGAAAAGGCGGCCACCAAACAGCCGUUUCUUCUAUGCACCGGUUCACUUGCACAACAAUUGAAUUUUUUCCUUGUCAUUGAAGGAUCUCUCGUGCCAUUAGGGCAAAAUUCUAGUAUUGCUUUUAACGUUCUUUUUCGUUCUUUUUUUGUGUUGUGCUGUGUUUUGUGCUGACUUUGUAUCCCGUCUCGAGUCCAUCCAGUCUUUGAAUUUUGUUUUAUCCCUUGACUUUAAUCUAUUCAAAUAUGAAGUUUUUUAUCGUUACAUUAAGUUAGUAUGUCUCAACUCUGAAGCCAAUACAUUUGAAUUUCUCAUC